AAAAUAAAAGGGGUGGUGAAAGAUCUGUGUAGUCUGGCCUGGGGAGAGAUUCUGUGCACAAGAGAGGCACAGAAGUAUGAGGAGAUUGUUGUUGGGUGUUGGGAGUAGCUACUCAGCUUUUGCACAGGGGAGAACAUUUUCAAUGAACCCAUCUGGUUUUUAAAAGAACUGAUGAGCAAUAGAAAAGUUCCUGGUUACUUUCAGCCAGGUUUCUGCAAGAAUGAAAACAGAAAAGCAGAGCAGAAGCAGCUCACAGGUUCUUUCUUCAUCCUUCCUGCUCAACCUGUCUUGGAGGAGCAGAAUAUGAGAGGGAAUGGAGGCCACCAUGGAAAUGAGGAUAUCACCUCCAAAAUGGAUAUGUCCAGGGAUUGCUGCAACAGCCUGGUGUUCACAGAGAAGGUGCCAAGAGAGAAAAGUUUUGCUGGCCUUCAUUUCUCAUAGGACAGCCUAUAACCUGCACUUUAAACACUGGGGUAGGCCAGGCCUACAGGUCAAGUGUAAGGCUAGGGUUUGGGCUGGGUUUAGGGUUAGGGUUAGGGUUAGAGUUAGGCUUAGGGUUUGGGUUAGGGUUAGGGUUAGGGUUAGGGUUAGGGUUAGGGUUAGGGUUAGGGUUAGGGUUAGGGUUAGGCUUAGGGUUAGGGUUAGGGUUAGGGUUAGGGUUAGGGUUAGGGUUAGGGUUAGGGUUAGGGUUAGGGUUAGGCUUAGGGUUAGGGUUAGGCUUAGGGUUAGGGUUAGGGUUAGGGUUAGGGUUAGGGUUAGGGUUAGGGUUAGGGUUAGGGUUAGGGUUAGGGUUAGGCUUAGGCUUAGGCUUAGGUUUAGGCUUAGGCUUAGGUUUAGGCUUAGGCUUAGGGUUAGGGUUAGGGUUAGGGUUAGGGUUAGGGUUAGGGUUAGGGUUAGGGUUAGGGUUAGGGUUAGGCUUGGGGUUUGGGGUUUGGGGUUUGGGUUAGGGUUAGGCUUUUGGUUGUUUAGGGUUGGGGUUAGAGUUAGGGUUUGGUUUGGGUUAGAGUUAGGCUUUGGGUUUGGCUUAGGGUUAGGUUCAGGCUUUGGGUUUAGGUGAGGGUUAGGGUGAGGGUUAGGCUUUGGGUUGGGGUAUGGAUUAUGGUUAGGCUUUGGGUUUGGGUUAGGUUUAGGUUCAGGCUUUGGGUUUAGGUUAGGGUGAGGGUUAGGCUUUGGGUUGGGGUUCGAUUUUGAGGUUAGGAGUAGGAUUAGAGUUACAGCUAAGGCUCAUGGUUUGUGUUAGGAGCUGGUUUUAGGUUUAGAGUUUUAAUUGACAUUAGAAGAAUAAUAAUCCUUCAGGUACUUGUUUAGAGAGAGUUCUCACUCCUUUUACGGUGCAAUUAACCACAAUAUUUAGAUCUAGGACAAUUUUUUGGUCUUUUUUUCAGUCAGGGAAACCUGGGUGGGGGUUUAUUAUUUCAGCUUUUCUACUGUCAUCUUGGCAUAGUUUCUUUGUGCAAUUUUUUCCAGAAAAUGUUCCUUAAUAUGAAAGCCUCUUCAAAAUAAAACCUAAUUGUUUUUCA
rnacentral:lncRNA from 1 species